rnacentral:rRNA from 1 species
UACGUAGGUGACCAGCGUUGUCCGGAUUUACUGGGCGUAAAGAGCGCGCAGGCGGUCGUUCAAGUCGAGUGUGAAAGCCCCCGGCUCAACUGGGGAGGGUCAUUCGAUACUGAUCGACUCGAAGGCAGGAGAGGGAAGCGGAAUUCCCGGUGUAGUGGUGAAAUGCGUAGAUAUCGGGAGGAACACCAGUGGCGAAAGGCGGCUUCCUGGCCUGGUUCUUGACCGCUGAG